rnacentral:rRNA from 1 species
AAUCAUGGCUCAGGACGAACGCUGGCGGCGUGCCUAAUACAUGCAAGUAGAACGCUGAAGGAGGAGCUUGCUUCUCCGGAUGAGUUGCGAACGGGUGAGUAACGCGUAGGUAACCUGCCUGGUAGCGGGGGAUAACUAUUGGAAACGAUAGCUAAUACCGCAUAAGAGUAGAUGUUGCAUGACAUUUGCUUAAAAGGUGCAAUUGCAUCACUACCAGAUGGACCUGCGUUG